rnacentral:lncRNA from 1 species
AUGAUUACUAGUACGUUCAGCCUUCUUUCUGGCUGCAGCAAAAGUGGCCAACUGACCACCAAAAAUUCAUGCUCCUCCCCUCCGGACAACAUCCAAGGUUUUCUCUGUGUCCGUGUGAGGAGAGCAACGGCUCACCCCGAAAUGGAAUGCCCGACGUCUCAGAACUCCUUCAUGCUGCUGGGUCACUGCCACUUCUGUCUUCCUCCAAAAUACCACCUCGUACCUAGAGCAUGGCACCACUAAGCACGGGUAAGAGGGGAGAAGGCAGUGAAGGUGUGUAUGGCACAGUUCCUGCCUCCAGGAGCACACAGUCUCCUGAAAGAAAAGAGAAGCGCAGGAUGUUGAAAUGGGACUCUUGUCUCUCUUUUUGGCUGAGGCACCAAGUCAAUAGAUACAACAGCAAUGACAUUGCAAAGUGAGG